UACGAAGGGGGCUAGCGUUGCUCGGAAUCACGUGGGCGUAAAGCGCACGUAGGCGGAUUGCUAAGUCAGGGGUGAAAUCCUGGAGCUCAACUCCAGAACUGCCCUUGAUACUGGCGGUCUCGAGUCCGGGAGAGGUGAGUGGAACUGCGAGUGUAGAGGUGAAAUUCGUAGAUAUUCGCAAGAACACCAGUGGCGAAGGCGGCUCACUGGCCCGGUACUGACGCUGAGGUGCGAAAGCGUGGGGAGCAAACAGG
rnacentral:rRNA from 1 species